rnacentral:rRNA from 1 species
AUUGAACGCUGGCGGCGUGCCUUACACAUGCAAGUCGAACGGCAGCGGGGGAGAAGCUUGCUUUUCCUGCCGGCGAGUGGCGAACGGGUGAGUAAUACAUCGGAACGUGCCCUGUAGUGGGGGAUAACUAGUCGAAAGAUUAGCUAAUACCGCAUACGACCUGAGGGUGAAAGUGGGGGACCGCAAGGCCUCAUGCUAUAGGAGCGGCCGAUGUCUGAUUAGCUAGUUGGUGGGGUAAAGGCCUACCAAGGCGACGAUCAGUAGCUGGUCUGAAGGGACGAUACGCCACACUGGGACUGAGACACGGCCCAGACUCCUACGGGAGGCAGCAGUGGGGAAUUUUGGACAAUGGGCGAAAGCCUGAUCCAGCAAUGCCGCGUGUGUGAAGAAGGCCUUCGGGUUGUAAAGCACUUUUGUCCGGAAAGAAAUGGCUCUGGUUAAUACCUGGGGUCGAUGACGGUACCGGAAGAAUAAGCACCGGCUAACUCUGUGCCAGCAGCCGCCGUAA